rnacentral:rRNA from 1 species
UAAUACAUAGGGUGCGAGCGUUGUUCGGAAUUACUGGGCGUAAAGGGCGCGCAGGCGGAAUAGUAAGUCGGAGGUGAAAGCCCGGGGCUCAACCCCGGAUGGUCUUUCGAAACUACUAAUCUAGAGAGGGUCAGGGGCCGGCAGAAUUCCUGGUGUAGAGGCGAAAUUCGUAGAUAUCAGGAGGAAUACCGGUGGCGAAGGCGGCCGGCUGGGGCCACUCUGACGCUGAGGCGCGAAAGCGUGGGGAGCAAACAGGAUUAGAUACCCUGGUAGUCCACGCCGUAAACGAUGAGCACUGACGUCCGGAGGGUUCGACCCUUCUGGGUGUCUCAGCUAACGCAUUAAGUGCUCCGCCUGGGGAGUACGGUCGCAAGACUA